GCGCAUGUCCCUGUGAUUGAAGCAGACUCAACCUAUUGAAAACGUGCAAAGUCGAGGGGAUUCAAAAUCCCCCGCCGCGAGGCGUGCCGGUUCGAGUCCGGCCUUGGGUACCA
rnacentral:tRNA from 1 species